GAUCAGGCUGGUGGCAUUGCUCGGUUGUAUACAACUAGUCGGAUGGAUUUGUAUGGGAUUUGACAGCUGAGAUUUGGUUGUACACGACCGUCCGACCAAAAUCAAAAAUUUUUGAUUUUGGUCGGACGGUCGUGUAAACCGAGUGAACUCGCUGGUAUAAACUCAAAAAAAACCUUUGUUUUUCUUCAAAUGACGGAUUGCGGGAUUAUUUGUAAACAAGUGAUUUUGCUACAAACAGCUACAUCGCCAUGGCAAAAACUGUAAUUGACGAAGAAUUUUUGAUCUCUUUAGUGCAAGAACGGCGCUUUCUUUGGGAUCUGCGCGAUCGCAUGUAUAAGAAUAGAGCGGUGACAAAUAAAGCGUGGAAUGAGAUAGGAGCGGAGCUUAAUGUUGAAGUUUGCUGCGGGAACAAACCGGCAAACGAGUGGGUUGAAUAAGUGAAGAAUGAACAGACCCGAUACUCUCGCGCUAGUUUCUUCGUUGCGUUGUAUAUCACCCCGGAUGAUAAUGAUAAGAUUGGGCUUUUCCUUGAUUAACCAGAAUCGGAUAUUAACGGCGGACCCUUGUUGAUAACGAUCUUUUUCCGGUAAACGUAUUUUUAGGAUUGGGAGAAAUUGCAAAACACAAAUGGCGUAUUUUGCGUGACAUCUUUGCACGCAAGUUUUCUGAAACGCAGCAGCCAUCUGGGUCAGGAUACAAGCAUAUCCGAUGGAAAUUUUUCAAGCAGAUGAGUUUCUUGAAAGAUACGCUUGCAUCCAGACCCAGAAUGGGUAAUCUGGAAUUAGCAGGAUCCGCACAUGAAACCGAAGAGUACCUCGAGGAAGAACUCAUGACGGAGGAGAACCAAUAUAACCAGCCGCAGGAUUAUGGAAAGGCAGCAGACGCAGAAAAGCAUACAUCAAGUAGCCAACCAUCAGGCAGCAGGCCAAAACGCGCUUCUGAUGCUGUGUUACUAGAAAAUCUGUUGCUCAUGGAAAAGGAAAGGCACGAGAUGGCGAAACAACAAAAGACUGGCAACUAUUACGCGAUGAUGAGUUUGGUUACGUUAAUGGACAAAUUAGAGAUAGAGGAUCAAAUUGAAGUACGCGACGAAAUUUUGCGUUUUGGGCACCGCGUGCUAAAAGAGAAAUUUAGUAAUUAUAAGGAUAAUUGUUAAGAUAUUUAAGAUAAUAAAUAAUAAUAGUUACGGUAAUAGUAAGGUAAUAAGGGAAAAGGUAAUAGUUACAGUUUGUUUAGAUGAUAGUUAUCUAUAAAAAAUGAUUUUUUGUUAACAUGAAUUGCAUUACGUUAUUGUUUAAGUGUUUUUAUUUACGUUUAACAGAAUUCAUAUGUUCCUAUAAACUUUAAAAAUUAAUAAACUACCAAAUAUGCCUUCA